CACGUUGUUACCUAGCAAGAUGUGAAAUUAUUCUCAUCGGCUUCUUCUGUUUUGUUUGUGCAAAACUUUGAUGAUUUUUCAUGUUCCUUCUCUUCUUUGCUCCGUCUUUCAGUUUGUCGUUGCACAUAUGUGCACUAGCUAUUCCAAGUUUUUGCUAUUUGGCUCAUACACAGUAAAGGCAGGAGUAGCUGCAGUAGGAAGGACUGAAUUAACGCAGAUACAUCGGAGUCGAGAAGUUAGUCAAUCAUAUGUUACCUCCAUUGGACGACAUUUAUUGCUUUGGCGCAUGCGUUCUGGUUGAUGAUCAAGAUUAGACUCAAAGUGGUAAAAAACAAACUUAGUUCAUAUUACUUUCUCGGAAACCCCCUCUCCCAACACAACUUUUUUGCAUCUCCAGAUUCUUUUUUCCUUUUAAGAUCCUGCUUAACUUAUUUAUAUAUUUUUGAUAUCCCAUAUCUUGUGCAACGGCCCAGGAACAUGUACUCCAAUAUGUCUAAUUGCCUUCUUUUUUAAGGUUCGUAUUUUAGGGAGUGAUAUUUCUGUUUUCCUUUUUCGAUUUGCCUCAGUAUGACUGAAUUGCAUGAUAAAAAAUGCUUGAUCCAAAUCCCAAUAAGUUUGAGGUUACACAUGGAUCAUAUCUGUUACUAUAUUUCUGAUUUGGGAUAUCAGCUCAUCAGAGCUUGAUUCAGAAUGCAUCUCACUUAGCUUUUAAUUGUACAGAGGCGAUAAAAGUGUGCAUUAAUCGUUGGACCAUUUCUAUAUUUCUUUUGGGGCAUUAUGGUAGGUGCUAUUAGGAACUCUAUUUACCAAUAGUCGAGCUUAUUUUAAGAAUCCUAUCAUAUUCCUACACCAUUGGCCCUUCCUUCAAAUUAAAAUUAAUAAUAAAAGAAAACUAAAUAAGAACAAAUAGAUGAAAAAGGAGAGAAAAAAGUUAAUAAACUUAGCGAGAAAUAAGAUUUGGUAAAGCUACUUGAUUUUUUUAUGUGGAAAGCAUUUUAAGAAUCACGACACUUUCUUUGAGUGGUUUGCUUCUUUACAAGCUACGCAUGGUUGAUCAGUUAUUUGUCCAAUGGCCACUCAUUGUGUGGGUUCUCUUAUGUAAAUAGAGUCGUUUCCAAGGCACCACUCAUAGUCAACCUCCUUUGUGCGAUCGGAGGAACUUAAUAGUAUAAUAUUAGGCCCUACUUCUCUUAGAUAUUGCUGAUAUGCGCAAGAUUUGCUGGGUGGUGUUGUAUUUACCAUAGGUAUAAUUGAUAUAGUGGUUUUGCCAAUUAACAUGGGUACACACACUAUACCUGAUGUAACCUUAUGUUCUCAUAGCCAAAGGAACCUAUAUUUAUAAUUAUCAUUCACUUUUAAACUUUUACAUUUAAUGUUGCAAUGAUUUGUGUCACCCUUUCUUUAAAUGAAAAUCACAUUUGUUCAAGAACUUUUAGAAAAAACUUAAAACAGAUCAAAAGCUCAAAGGUGAACUGCAAUGGUCCAUAGGUAAGGGAGAUAUCCUAUUGACUGCCAAAAUCGACUUAAUAUUGUAAAUUCUUGGCCGCCUAACCGAAUUAUAUUAGUGAUGUAGAAUGGGGUUGAUGAUAACUAAUGUGUAUAUUUUUGUUUUGAUACAAACUUCUUUGGUGGGUUGAGGGCACGAGUAUAUGAUUUUGAGAUGACGAAAUGAGGUUCAGGAACUGGAAUUGAAGCUAUUGGGAACAAACUUCUGAACUCUUUCGACGGACCCCCGACUUUUGAGCAACCAAAAAUGACUAUUGAGAAGCUCCUUGAGUAUGGUAACAUGCUCAAGAACAAGAGAAUGUGAAGAGAAUUCAGUUGGCAGACAUGCAUCUUAAAGAGGAGCACUUAGAGAUGCAAAUGUUGAUAGCAUUAAUACUGAAAACUUAUAAUGUCAUCAAUCUAAAGUCUAAAUAAGAGGGAAGAAAGGACAACAAUCUAAUUGUCCUGUUGCUGAAGUUUCUAUUGAAUCAAGUACUAAAAAACUUGAUUCAACUUUCAAGAGUGAUGAUAAAACUUAUAUCUUCAGUUCUUUGAGAUAUUUUGCGAGGGUAGCUAUAGAAUGUGACUAUAACUUUGUAAUAUAUAAAAUCAGUUGCAUUCCAUUCA